rnacentral:rRNA from 1 species
AUUGAACGCUGGCGGCAGGCCUAACACAUGCAAGUCGAGCGAGCGGCGGACGGGUGAGUAAUGUCUGGCAAACUGCCUGAUGGGGGGGGAUCACUACUGGGAACGGUAGCUAAUACCGCAUACCAUCAGAUGUGCCCCGAUGGGAUUAGCUAGUAGGUGGGGUACCGGCCCACCUAGGCGACGAUCCCUAGCUGGUCUGAGAGGAUGACCAGUCACACUGGAACUGAGACACGGUCCAGACUCCUACGGGAGGCAGCAGUGAGGAAUAUUGGAGAAUGGGCGCAAGCCUGAUACAGCCAUGCCGCGUGUGUGAAGAAGGCCUUCGGGUUGUAAAGCACUUUAAGCGGGGAGGCGUUACCCACAGAAGAAGCACCGACUAACUCCGUGCCAGCAGCCGCGGUAAUAC